UAUUAACUAUUAUUUCGCAUACAUUCGGAAAUCUAAUGAAACAGAUCCAAUUCAGGUUUAGGUACAACAUUUUCUUACUCUUAAUUCAUUUUGGAUCACACCCGAACUAACCCAUUCUAUGGCACCAGCUACAAUAUCGAACACUCCGUAAGAUACCCUCAAAUGGCUAUCAAGGAGAUGGAAGACCUCGCUACGACCAUUCGGCAACUGGUGCCGAAUCCUACUGACGAACGAGUUCAGUGCCACCAUGUGCCAGAGCUCCUUGCUUAGAUCCUUUACUUGGCUGAUUGGAUCCAUAAGGUCUCUAUUCAGUGCACCACCAUUCUUGCCAAGUACAACCCCAACCCUCCAGACACAGGCGUCACAAUCGAAGACGAAUGAGUUGUCGCUGAUAUGGAACUAACGCCAACACCGUCACCUAAAUCCGUUGAAGAACUGUACGAAGAGCGGAGCAUGAACUACGACAGCGAUCAGGCUAGAGGCAUCAGCUAGCUAGGUUUUUAGUUAAAUGUAGUCGGUUCAUGGUAGUAUUUUGUCAGUCAUGGAUGUAGUGAAGUACCCUUUCGAGUUAUUUGUAGGGGAUCCAUGCGAACUAUGUGUCUGUUCUUGGCUUUUGGAAUAAAAAUUGUGCCUCUGUCGUUGC
rnacentral:lncRNA from 7 species